rnacentral:rRNA from 1 species
GAUGAACGCUAGCGAUAGGCCUAACACAUGCAAGUCGAGGGGCAUCACAUGAAGUAGCAAUACGGAUGGUGGCGACCGGCGCACGGGUGAGUAACACGUAUGCAACCUGCCUUCAACAAGGGCAUAACCCGUUGAAAGACGGACUAAUUCCCUAUAACACAGGGGUCCCGCAUGGGAAUAUUUGUUAAAGAUUAAUCGGUUGAAGAUGGGCAUGCGUUCCAUUAGCUUGUUGGCGGGGUAACGGCCCACCAAGGCAACGAUGGAUAGGGGAACUGAGAGGUUUAUCCCCCACACUGGUACUGAGACACGGACCAGACUCCUACGGGAGGCAGCAGUGAGGAAUAUUGGUCAAUGGACGCAAGUCUGAACCAGCCACGUCGCGUGAAGGAAGACGGCCCUACGGGUUGUAAACUUCUUUUGCAAGGGAAUAAAGUGGGCCACGUGUGGCCUUUUGCAAGUACCUUGCGAAUAAGGAUCGGCUAACUCCGUGCCAGCAGCCG